CACACUUGGGGGCGGGUUAUGUUUAAACCAACCACAUUUGCAUUACAAACUUCUUGGCAAAGCCGCUUCUAUUUUAUAAUAUUACCUUGCUGUUUCCAUUUUGGAAGUGGAGAGACUCGGGCACACACAUCUUGACAGAGAUUGCUGUAAAAUAACAACAGAACAAAGAAGAUUAUUGUCCGUUGCAAAUGACAGAGUCAAAAGUGGUUCUAUCCAAAGGAGGUAAUGAGAAAUGUGGACUUUCUUUCUCCCCCCUCUCCUCCCCCCCCCCAUCUUUUCUUUGUCUUACUUAAAAAUCUAAUUCUAGGAGUCUCAUUCCUAGCCCUGUAGCAGAGCACAUACAGGGUCGGUCCCCUUCUCUGCCUUUAUGCCCUGAGGGCUCAGCUGACUCCCAGAGACUGGGCCUUCUUCCUCUACCGCAUCCCUUUGUGUCAGACGGCAGUGCCUGGAGGCAUGCUCUACCUGGAGCACUGUGGGCCGUGUGGCCACUCUGGCCUGUAUGCAGGUUCCUCGGGACCCUGUCUCAAGAGUGAAGAGCAAUAGAGGAAGACACCAAACAUUGACACCUGGCCUAUACCUAGGUACAUACUUACGUGCACAAGUUAAUUCUGAUUGGAAAAAGGAGAAGCCAGCCACCAUGAGGUAGAAGAACAUGCAAGAGAAGAAAAAGGAAGCCGCCAUAGGAAAAGGGUCAAGAGAGUGUGGCCCUAGGACUGCUCAGUUGGAGCUAAGAGCAGCGAAGAUGAAACAGAAUUGUUGUUGAUAGGAGAAUGAAUCUGAAGGUGAGAGAUGAUUUGAAUAAUGCCACCCUGUGACCACUUCACAUACCAUGGAGUGACCACACACCCUCCCAGGAGUUGUGAAGUCAAGAAGGAGAUUCAGGGCUCUCAGAGCUCCCCAUGGUUUAGCCACAUCCAUCCUGCAGUAGAUGGCCUUGAAGAGCACACAGAACUGCAAGAUCCCACUUAUCUAGGGAGAUGACUUCCUGCACUGCCCUUCCUCCUAGCUGCACUUGACCUUGCCCAUAGAUACAUCCUCCAAGCCACGGGGUCCCUGUGAGGCAUCUCUCCUCCCCAUCGCUCCCAAUCCACCCUUUCUAUGUUAGAGAAUACAGACAAAGGGACAUGAGGACCAUGGAACUCUAGCUGCACAGAUGAUACACAUUUGCUUUGAAUAAGGAAUUCCACAGUAUAGUCUAUCUGGGAAAUAAAUACUGGAUUGAGAAAUAAAUUACUUUCUUUACUAGAGCUUUUAAUUUUUUUUUCAUCUAUGUGUAUGUUUCUUUUAUGUGAGUGCAGUGCCUGUCAAAGCCAGAAGGGGAUAUUGGAUCCCCACUGGAGCUGGAGUCACAGAUGGUUGUGUUGCAAGCCAUGCAAGGCAGGUGCUGGGAACUGAACCCAGGUCCAGAGGAAGAAUAACCACUGAGCCACCCCAAACUAAUACUUUAAAUAUCCAAGAAAAGAAGCUAGAAUAUAAGCCUUUUAACCAUUAUUUGGCUAUUGAAAUCUCAAUGGAUUCUUGGUCCAAGAAUUUACCUUGAAUCCAGAAAUUAGUCUCAUAUGGAAUUCAAGCAGCCAUGUGUUAAUAAAACUCACAAACAUUUCAAUACUCUGAUAGCUUUACUUAUUUUGACUCAUCAAGGACUCAAAACCUUCGCAUACAAACACAUUUGCAUGCAAAUUUACAUAAUUUAUACUGUGGGUUUUUGUAUAGAAUUAGUUACAUGGUUUCCAUAUGAAUUGCUGCCAAGUGCCAUGUCAAUCAAGUCAAUAAAGAAUGAAUGUAUAGGAAAACUACUUCAGACAAAAUAGUGCAUAAAAAUAAAUGCAAGACACAUUUUAAAACCCAAAGCUAAUCCUGCAGCAGGUUAUGUUUUUUAGUUCUAUUUCUAUGUAAAGUUUCAUAUUAUGGGAAAUGCUCUCAGUUACAUCAUUUUUUUUCAAGAAUAAAUAAUUAUAGUAAAGCCAACCAUCCACACUUAUAUGAGUUGCUUGAUUGAACUAGAUUUUAAAGAAGCUAGAGAAGCAGAGGGAUUUUAUUCGGGUAAUUAUAAACAUCAUAUCUAAUUUACCAGAGCAUUAACUUUUUCCAAAAUAAAGCUCUGAAUUUUUUUAUUUUAAUUUAAAAAAAAAUGCUCAUCGCGUAUGGAAAAAUACCACAUAGUUGAGUCACGGAACAUGGACCCACCCGGAAGCUUCAUGCCUUGUGGCUACUGCUCAUAAUGCUGGAAGGUGCACACCACCUGAGGAGAGAAAUGAUGACCAAUCUCACCUAGCUUUGAACCCUGACAGCUACAGCGAUGGCUGAUAGAACAAGAGGUACCCACUGGUACAAUAGUGGCAGGAGUAUUCUGAGAGUGACCAACCACUUUCUGAUUGUAUCUAAGGCCCGCUCCAGGAGCUGGAACCCAUACUGGUACAGGGCAAAGAGCUCGUUGAUAGACAGGUCAUAUGCCCUAGGAAAGAGCCCAAUAUUAUUAUUCUGCCAAAUAGAAAUAGCAUUAAAUUGACUUAUUGCUAUUCUCAAAGCACUUCUCAACCUCCAUCAGAGAAGCAAGCCUCCUCUUGUACCAGAAGUUAAGAUGAAGAUGCUGAUCUGGUCAAUGUAUAUAAAAUAAGAGUGUUCUCUAAAUGGGGCAUAUAUAUCACGUCCCACACCCUCCUCUUCAAGGAAGCGAGAGUGUUGGGGGGGGAGGUUGUGGAGGAAUAACAACCAG